AUCUAGUUGACGAGUCCCAAAUAGGACGAAACAUGCAUCAUGGAU
rnacentral:hammerhead_ribozyme from 1 species